AUUGAACGCUGGCGGCAGGCCUAACACAUGCAAGUCGAACGAGUGGCGGACGGGUGAGUAAUGUCUGGGAAACUGCCCGAUGGAGGGGGAUAACUACUGGAAACGGUUGCUAAUACCGCAUACCAUCGGAUGUGCCCAGAUGGGAUUAGCUAGUAGGUGGGGUAAAGGCUCACCUAGGCGACGAUCCCUAGCUGGUCUGAGAGGAUGACCAGCCACAAUGGAACUGGGACACGGUCCAGACUCCUACGGGAGGCAGCAGUAGGGAGUAUUGCACAAGGGGCGCAAGCCUGAGGCAGCCAUGCCGCGUGUAUGAAGAAGGCCUUCGGAUUGUAAAGUAAUUUCAGCGGGGAGGCGUUACCCGCAGAAGAAGCACCGGCUAACUCCGAGCCAGCAGCCACGAUGAUUC
rnacentral:rRNA from 1 species